UCGUGUGUAGCUGUUUGAGGACU
rnacentral:piRNA from 1 species